AUCGAACGCUGGCGGCAGGCCUAAUACAUGCAAGUCGAGCGGAGCGGCGGAAGGGUGAGUAAUGCCUAGGUAUUUGCCCGGUAGUGGGGUAUAACGUCCGGAAACGGGCGCUUUUACCGCAUACUUUCAGAUGAGCCUCGGUGGGAUUAGCUAGUUGGUGGGGUAAAGGCCUACCAAGGCGACGAUGCGUAGCUGGUCUGAGAGGAUGAUCAGUCACACUGGGACUGAGACACGGUCCAGACUCCGACGGGAGGCAGCAGUGGGGAAUAUUGGGCAAUGGGCGAAAGUCUGACCCAGCCAGGCCGCGUGAGUGAAGAAGGUUUUCGGAUGGUAAAGCUCUGUUGGUUGAGAAGCGUUAUCUACAGAGAAAGCAACGGCUAACUACGUGCCAGCCGCCGCGGUAAUAC
rnacentral:rRNA from 1 species